AUGGUGAGACCGCGAGUUGGAGGCGCGGACGUAUGGGCAUGGGCAAGAGAGAAAUCUGGCCUCUUCACGGUCAGAUCUGCAUAUAGACAUGCAAUGCAAUUGAAGGUACAAACACAACUGAAUGUUGGCUCAUCCACGGGUGACUCAACCAUCUGGAAGGCGCUGUGGAAGAUUAACGUGCUUCCAAAGAUACGGGUGUUUGGGUGGCGUGUGCUGAAAAACUUUUUGCCCUCGUAUGGCGAGCUUCAAAGAAGGCAUAUUAAGCAAAUACCAAACUGUCCGAUGUGUGGCAAUGACAAUGAGAACCUGUUGCACUCGCUGAUGGAGUGUGAGCAUGCCAUGCGAUUUUGGGAGGCAGCACAGCGUUUCUUUGGUAUUGAUAGACCACAUCUGCACCCAAUAUCAUGGUCUCGAGAUCUCCUAGAUCAGCGAUUAUAUAAGGAGGAGGCGGCCAUCAUGAUUUCUGUAAUGUGGGCAGUAUGGCACUCAAGAAACAAUUACACACAUGAUCCCGGAGAGGAAGAAGACCCCAACCACGGCCAGACCGAGGUGGAUGCCACCAGAGGGGGUGGACUAAGAUCAAUACGGAUGGAGCAACGGAUAUGGGUCUCGUGCGAGGAGGAGCGGGCUAUAUUGCUCAAGAUCAUCAUGGGACGCGAUCAUCAUGGCACAAGACAUGGGUGUCCAGCAUGUAGUGAUGGAGACGGACUGUCAGGAGAUUCAACGGCUCUGGGAUGCACCUCAGAGAUCGACAUGUUAUCAUCUUAUUUUGGAGAUGAAGGAGAUGGCUACUGGGUUUCAGGGAUUCAGGCUACGGUUCUCGGGUCGUUAGACUAA
rnacentral:rRNA from 1 species